UACAGAGGGGGCAAGCGUUGUUCGGAAUUACUGGGCGUAAAGGGCGCGUAGGCGGCCCGCUAAGUCGAACGUGAAAUCCCUCGGGCUCAACCCAGGAACUGCGUCCGAUACUGGCGGGCUUGAAUCCGGGAGAGGGAUGUGGAAUUCCAGGUGUAGCGGUGAAAUGCGUAGAUAUCUGGAGGAACACCGGUGGCGAAGGCGGCAUCCUGGACCGGUAGUUGACGCUGAGGCGCGAAAGCCAGGG
rnacentral:rRNA from 1 species